CGCAGACCCCGGUCUAGCUUCUAGCAGGUUAGCCUUGCACAGAAAAAUUAAGCUGGUGCAGAUUAACAAAGUAUUCAAGCGUCUUGAAACUUCGGCAAGCUCCCGGCGGGUGUCCGGGAUCUGCGGCGGAGUAGCCUUAGCGUGCAUCGCCAUGAUGGAUCGAGCAGUGGAGAUCGCAGAGAAACAAAAAAGUCUAUUACAGAGAGAGAAGAUUCAGACCCACCACCAACUUCUUCAUUUUUCUGGUUCAGGAGGAGACAUUCAGGAAUGGCUAUUCUUCAUGCAUUUGCAUCCAAAACCAAAAGAGGAUGCUGCACAACGCGCAAGGUAUUUCUAAUGCAACA